rnacentral:rRNA from 1 species
GAUGAACGCUAGCGGCAGGCUUAAUACAUGCAAGUCGAGGGACAGCACAGGUAGCAAUACUGGGUGGUAACCGGCAAACGGGUGCGGAACACGUACACAACCUUCCUUUAAGUGGGGGAUAGCCCAGAGAAAUUUGGAUUAAUACCCCGUAAUAUAGUUGAAUGGCAUCAUUUGAUUAUUAUAGCUACGGCGCUUAAUGAUGGGUGUGCGGCUGAUUAGAUAGUUGGCGGGGUAACGGCCCACCAAGUCUACGAUCAGUAGCUGAUGUGAGAGCAUGAUAAGCCACACGGGCACUGAGUCACGGACCCGACUCCUACGGGAGGCAGCAGUAAGGAAUAUUGGUCAAUGGACGAAAGUCUGAACCAGCCAUGCCGCGUGAAGGAUUAAGGUCCUCCGGAUUGUAAACUUCUUUUAUUUGGGACGAAAAAGGGCCUUUCUAGGUCAACUGACGGUACCAGAUGAAUAAGCACCGGCUAACUCCGUGCCAGCCGCCGCGGUAAUAC